AGUCGACGCUUCUUUCCUCCCGAGUGCCUGCACUCAAUUGGAAAGAGGAGUGGCGGACGGGUGAGUAACACGUGGGUAACCUGCCCAUCAGAGGGGGAUAACACUUGGAAACAGGUGCUAAUACCGCAUAACAGUUUAUGCCGCAUGGCAUAAGAGUGAAAGGCGCUUUCGGGUGUCGCUGAUGGAUGGACCCGCGGUGCAUUAGCUAGUUGGUGAGGUAACGGCUCACCAAGGCCACGAUGCAUAGCCGACCUGAGAGGGUGAUCGGCCACACUGGGACUGAGACACGGCCCAGACUCCUACGGGAGGCAGCAGUAGGGAAUCUUCGGCAAUGGACGAAAGUCUGACCGAGCAACGCCGCGUGAGUGAAGAAGGUUUUCGGAUCGUAAAACUCUGUUGUUAGAGAAGAACAAGGACGUUAGUAACUGAACGUCCCCUGACGGUAUCUAACCAGAAAGCCACGGCUAACUACGUGCCAGCAGCCGCGGUAAUACGUAGGUGGCAAGCGUUGUCCGGAUUUAUUGGGCGUAAAGCGAGCGCAGGCGGUUUCUUAAGUCUGAUGUGAAAGCCCCCGGCUCAACCGGGGAGGGUCAUUGGAAACUGGGAGACUUGAGUGCAGAAGAGGAGAGUGGAAUUCCAUGUGUAGCGGUGAAAUGCGUAGAUAUAUGGAGGAACACCAGUGGCGAAAGCGGCUCUCUGGUCUG
rnacentral:rRNA from 1 species